rnacentral:rRNA from 1 species
GAUGAACGCUAGCGGGAGGCCUAAUACAUGCAAGUCGAACGGUAACAGGAUAGCAAUAUCGCUGACGAGUGGCGUACGGGUGCGUAACACGUACACAACCUGCCUUAUACUGGAGCAUAGCCUCGGGAAACUGAGAUUAAUUCUCCAUAAUGUUAUGAAGUGGCAUCACUAUAUAACUAAAACUCCGGUGGUAUAAGAUGGGUGUGCGUCCGAUUAGCUAGUUGGUGAGGUAACGGCCCACCAAGCCUACGAUCAGUAACUGGUGUGAGAGCACGACCAGUCACACGGGCACUGAGACACGGGCCCGACUCCUACGGGAGGCAGCAGUAAGGAAUAUUGGUCAAUGGACGAAAGUCUGAACCAGCCAUGCCGCGUGAGUGAUGAAGGCCCUAGGGUUGUAAAGCUCUUUUGUGCGGGAAGAUAAUGACGGUACCGCAAGAAUAAGCCCCGGCUAACUUCGUGCCAGCAGCCGCGGUAAUUCUCGCGUGAC